CCUACGGGGGGCAGCAGUGGGGAAUAUUGCACAAUGGGCGAAAGCCUGAUGCAGCAACGCCGCGUGAAGGAAGAAGGGUUUCGGCUCGUAAACUUCUAUCAACAGGGACGAAAGAAAUGACGGUACCUGAAUAAGAAGCCCCGGCUAACUACGUGCCAGCAGCCGCGUUAAUACGGAGGAUGCGAGGGUUAUCCGGAUUUAUUGGGUUUAAGGGGUGCGUAGGCGGUCCGUUAAGUAAGCGGGAAAAUUGCGGGGCUCAACCCCGUGGAGCCGUUGAAACUGGCAGGCUUGAGUUGGCGAGAAGUACGCGGAAUGCGAGGUGUAGCGGUGAAAUGCAUAGAGAUCGCGCAGAACUCCGAUUGCGAAGGCAGCGUACCGGCGCAAGACUGACGCUGAGGCACGAAAGCGUGGGGAUCGAACAGGAUUAGAUACCCUAGUAGUC
rnacentral:rRNA from 1 species